AAUGAACGUUGGCGGCGUGGAUUAGGCAUGCAAGUCGUACGCAUAGCUUCGGCUAUGAGUGGUGCAAGGGUGAGUAAUGCGAAGGUAACCAACCCUGGUGUUGGGCAUAGCCGCGGGAAACUGCGGGUAAUUCCCAGCGACGUCACGAGAUGGCAUCAUCUUGUGACCAAAAGGUGUGAUUCCGCUCUAGGACGGGCCUUCGUGGUAUUAGGUAGUUGGUGAGGUAACGGCUCACCAAGCCGACGAUGCCUACCGGGUGUGAGAGCAUGACCCGGCACACUGGAACUGAGACACUGUCCAGACACCUACGGGUGGCUGCAGUCGAGAAUCUUCGGCAAUGGGCGAAAGCCUGACCGAGCGACGCCGCGUGAGGGAUUGAAGGCCUUCGGGUUGUAAACCUACUUUCGUAGAGGAGGAAGGGCCGUGAAGAACGGUCUUUGACCUAUUCUAGGAAGAAGACUUGGGCUAAGUUCGUGCCAGCAGCCGCGGUAAU
rnacentral:rRNA from 1 species